rnacentral:rRNA from 1 species
GAUGAACGCUGGCGGCGUGCCUAAUACAUGCAAGUCGAGCGAACGGACGAGAAGCUUGCUUUUCUGAUGUUAGCGGCGGACGGGUGAGUAACACGUGGAUAACCUACCUAUAAGACUGGGAUAACUUCGGGAAACCGGAGCUAAUACCGGAUAAUAUUUUGAACCGCAUGGUUCAAAAGUGAAAGACGGUCUUGCUGUCACUUAUAGAUGGAUCCGCGCUGCAUUAGCUAGUUGGUAAGGUAACGGCUUACCAAGGCAACGAUGCAUCGCCGACCUGAGAGGGUGAUCGGCCACACUGGAACUGAGACACGGUCCAGACUCCUACGGGAGGCAGCAGUAGGGAAUCUUCCGCAAUGGGCGAAAGCCUGACGGAGCAACGCCGCGUGAGUGAUGAAGGUCUUCGGAUCGUAAAACUCUGUUAUUAGGGAAGAACAUAUGUGUAAGUAACUGUGCACAUCUUGACGGUACCUAAUCAGAAAGCCACGGCUAACUACGUG